rnacentral:tRNA from 3 species
GCCGGCGUAGCUCAGCUGGUAGAGCAAGACUUUCGUAAAGUCGAGGUCGGGGGUUCGAGUCCCUCCGCCGGCACCA